ensembl:lncRNA
CAGGACUUGGCAUUCACAGAGAGUCAGAGGCCUAGCUGGGGCUGAAGAUUUGGGGGCCCUGGGCACGUUGGGGCUCUCCAGAGGUCCUGAGACUCCCCGACACCAGCCCCACCAGUGCCCACCUGGGGCUCCCAGGGUCCAGGGGUGCCCCGUCCUUCCGCCAGCUCACAAGAGGGCAGCUGCUAAUGGACACACCGCCCACCACUGGACCCUGGCACCUGGCAAGGGCCUGGCGCCGUGGGUGCCCAGCCACCACUAUCAAGACAAGUGGCCGAACCGCCGAAGGAAUCCAAGACUGAACCACGGAGUGUGCUCUGCUGGGGGCCCAAGGACUGCCCUUGGUUCCCCCCAGAUAGGCUGGGGGCCGAGGGUCCUCAUUCUCCCCACCAGGCCAAGGAACGCUCCUGCGUCACCUGCUCCUUACCAAGCACCUGCAAGGUGAAGUUCCUCUCGGCCACGCCGGCCAGGCUCGAGGCCACGCAGCUGCUCCAGUGACAGCCACAGUGCCGAGGCCCACUGUGUCUCUCUCCUGACCUCCUGCCCCGCCUCGCCUUCUUCCCCGGGAUCUCUAGACUCAUCCUAACUCUGCGGCCAGUCCCACCUCGCAACGCUGCCCCCGAGUUCCCAAGUGGAAGCAUCAGUGAGUGUCCCUGCCUGUCCCCUGGUGUCUGAGACCCUCUCAGCGGCCCAAGUUGCCAGAGUCAUGACUCGGUCUCGGUGGUCAAGCCCCACCACAGAGGUAGGCAGAG